rnacentral:lncRNA from 1 species
GAGUGCUUAACCUUUUAAAAAUUAUUUUUGUUGUUUUUAAUAUUUAUAUAUUCAGAAAGUAGAUAGAUAUUUAAAACGGAAAAAGGAAAAAAGAAAUAAAAUAGAAAUAAAAUAAAAAUAAAAAAAAUAAAUAAAAAUGAAAAAUAAAACUAAAACACCAUAAAAAGUAAAAUGAUAAAACAAAAAGAAACAAAAUAAUAAGUAAAUAAAAGAGGGGUGUGGAGGUGCCUAAAUAACAAAAGGGGGUGUCCAAACCAUUUUUUGUAAACAAACUGGGCUUAAGCCCAAACUGGAUGAGGGUGAGAUUUAGUAGAAAGAGGGGUGUGUGAAAAAUUUGCUUGCAGAACUGGAAUGGGUCGCCCUAAGUAAGUAGUUGAGCCCAACAACAAGUCAAACAACAAAAAGAAAAAAGGGUAUGGGGGUGCGUGAAUGGAAAAUGGGUGUGUAGAGGAGAAAGUUGGUCCAAACUUAGGCCCAAGGCCUUAUUCCCAACUGAAACACUUGAGGUCUCUUCUUCUCUGCAGAAGAAACGGAAACCCCAAGGCACUCAAACGCCAGCAACCGCACCAUCCUCACCUCCACCCAACCGGCAGUCGUGAAUCGCAGCCCCUAGCGUCGGUAGUGACGACGUCUAUCGUCGGAGCCACCGCUAGUCAAGGCAAAAGUUACC